rfam:Oryza sativa Japonica Group DNA, chromosome 5, cultivar: Nipponbare, complete sequence.
AAAAAGACAAACCCUGGUUUCCGUGCCCAACAUUUGACCGUCCGUCUUAUUUGAAAAAAUUAUAAAAAAAAUUAAAAAGACAAGUCACGCACAAAGUAUUAAUCAUGUUUUAUCAUCUAACAACAAUAAAAAUACGAAUUAUAAAAAAAUUUCAUAUAAGACGGACAGUCAAAGUUGGACACGGAAACUCAGGGUUUGCCUUUUU